rnacentral:rRNA from 1 species
AAGUCGUAACAAGGUUUCCGUAGGUGAACCUGCGGAAGGAUCAUCAUUGAAUAAACUUGCACAGGCUGUUGCUGGCCCCUUGGGGGUACGUGCACGCUUGUCAUCUUUAUUUUUCCAAUUGUGCACAUAUUGUAGACCUGGAGUUUUUUUUGAAAGUUAUUUCGAGUUGGGGACUGCUGUGCUUCAGUUGAAGUCGGCUUUGCCUUGCAUUUUCAGGUCUAUGUCAUUUUUCACAACCUCUUGAUGUGUUUAGAAUGUUGAAUCAGGUCCUUUUGUACCUAUAAAGUUAAAUAUACAACUUUCAGCAACGGAUCUCUUGGCUCUCGCAUCGAUGAAGAACGCAGCGAAAUGCGAUAAGUAAUGUGAAUUGCAGAAUUCAGUGAAUCAUCGAAUCUUUGAACGCAUCUUGCGCUCCUUGGUAUUCCGAGGAGCAUGCCUGUUUGAGUGUCAUUUAAGUUCUCAACCACAUCAAUUUGUUUUUGAUGCGGCUUGGAUGUGGGGGUUUUCUUGCAGGCAUCUUCGAAGUCUGCUCCCCUAAAAUGCAUUAGUGGUAUCUGAGCAGAAGAAACUACUAUAGGUGUGAUAAUUAUCUACAUCUUAGUAUGCUGCAAAUCAGAUUGCAUUGCUUCUAAAGAGUGGAGCCUCUCUCAUGAGGAGCCACAUUUGAUGAAUUGACCUC